CAGUAGCCGUGGUAAUACGUAGGUCCCGAGCGUUGUCCGGAUUUAUUGGGCGUAAAGCGAGCGCAGGCGGUUUGAUAAGUCUGAAGUUAAAGGCUGUGGCUCAACCAUAGUUCGCUUUGGAAACUGUCAAACUUGGGUGCAGAAGGGGAGAGUGGAAUUCCAUGUGUAGCGGUGAAAUGCGUAGAUAUAUGGAGGAACACCGGUGGCGAAAGCGGCUCUCUGGUCUGUAACUGACGCUGAGGCGCGAAAGCGUGGGGAGCAAACAGGAUUAGAUACCCGAGUAGUCCCUGUCUCUUAUACC
rnacentral:rRNA from 1 species